rnacentral:tRNA from 1 species
GGGGGCGUAGCUCAGUUUGGUUAGAGCGACUGCCUGUCACGCAGUAGGCCGCCGGUUCAAGUCCGGUCGUCCCCG